rnacentral:lncRNA from 1 species
CAUAACUGAUCUGUACCACUGCAAUCAGACCAACGGCAUGGCGACCAGUAUAGGUAGCACUGGUCGUUGUUCUUGACCACCUGUAUACAUGCAUGUUCUACAGUUCAGCCAGUUCCGACCCACCACGACCGUUGUUCUUGUCCACCAACGCUAGCAGAGUUUCGGCGGCCAAAGCUGUGCCUCCUCUUCAUUCUCAUGCCCACCUUCCCUCCCUCGCAAGCCUGAAUCCCA